GGCUGGGUAGCUCAGUGGAUUGGGCGCCAAGCCUAGAGGUGGGAGGUCCUAGGUUCGAAUCCAGCCUCAGCCA
rfam:Monodelphis domestica cont3.071393, whole genome shotgun sequence.